rnacentral:rRNA from 1 species
GACGACGCUGGCGGCGUGCUUAACACAUGCAAGUCGAACGGUGACGAGGAGCUUGCUCCUCUGAUCAGUGGCCGAACGGGUGAGUAACACGUGAGGCAACCUGCCCCAGACUCUGGGAUAACAGUUGGAAACAGCUGCUAAUACCGGAUACGAGACGGAGAGGCAUCUCUACCGUCUGGAAAGUUUUCGGUCUGGGAUGGACUCGCGGCCUAUCAGCUAGUUGGUGAGGUAAUGGCUCACCAAGGCGACGACGGGUAGCCGGCCUGAGAGGGCGACCGGCCACACUGGGACUGAGACACGGCCCAGACUCCUACGGGAGGCAGCAGUGGGGAAUAUUGCACAAUGGGCGAAAGCCUGAUGCAGCGACGCCGCGUGAGGGAUGACGGCCUUCGGGUUGUAAACCUCUUUCAGCAGGGAAGAAGCGAAAGUGACGGUACCUGCAGAAGAAGCACCGGCUAACUACGUG